rnacentral:rRNA from 1 species
GGUGCGAGCGUUAAUCGGAAUUACUGGGCGUAAAGCGUGCGCAGGCGGUGAUGUAAGACCGAUGUGAAAUCCCCGGGCUUAACCUGGGAACUGCAUUGGUGACUGCAUCGCUGGAGUAUGGCAGAGGGGGGUGGAAUUCCACGUGUAGCAGUGAAAUGCGUAGAGAUGUGGAGGAACACCGAUGGCGAAGGCAGCCCCCUGGGCCAAUACUGACGCUCAUGCACGAAAGCGUGGGGAGCAAACAGGAUUAGAUACCCUGGUAGUCCACGCCCUAAACGAUGUCAACUGGUUGUCGGGCCUUCAUUGGCUUGGUAACGUAACUAACGCGUGAAGUUGACCGCCUGGGGAGUACGGUCGCAAGAUUAAAACUCAAAGGA